GAACGGAAAGGCCCUGCUUGCAGGGUACUCGAGUGGCGAACGGGUGAGUAACACGUGGGUGAUCUGCCCUGCACUUCGGGAUAAGCCUGGGAAACUGGGUCUAAUACCGGAUAGGAGCCAUUUUUAGUGUGAUGGUUGGAAAGUUUUUUCGGUGUAGGAUGAGCUCGCGGCCUAUCAGCUUGUUGGUGGGGUAAUGGCCUACCAAGGCGGCGACGGGUAGCCGGCCUGAGAGGGUGGACGGCCACAUUGGGACUGAGAUACGGCCCAGACUCCUACGGGAGGCAGCAGUGGGGAAUAUUGCACAAUGGGCGCAAGCCUGAUGCAGCGACGCCGCGUGGGGGAUGACGGCCUUCGGGUUGUAAACUCCUUUCGCUAGGGACGAAGCUUUUGUGACGGUACCUAGAUAAGAAGCACCGGCUAACUACGUGCCAGCAGCCGCGGUAAUACGUAGGGCGCGAGCGUUGUCCGGAAUUACUGGGCGUAAAGGGCUCGUAGGUGGUUUGUCGCGUCGUCUGUGAAAUUCCGGGGCUUAACUCCGGGCGUGCAGGCGAUACGGGCAUAACUUGAGUACUGUAGGGGUAACUGGAAUUCCUGGUGUAGCGGUGAAAUGCGCAGAUAUCAGGAGGAACACCGAUGGCGAAGGCAGGUUACUGGGCAGUUACUGACGCUGAGGA
rnacentral:rRNA from 1 species